rnacentral:rRNA from 1 species
AACGUAGGAGACAAACGUUAUCCGGAGUUACUGGGCGUAAAGGGCGUGUAGGUGGUUACGUAAGUCUGGCGUGAAAUUUCUCGGCUUAACCGAGGCAGGUCGUCGGAUACUGCGGGACUAGAGGACGGUAGAGGCGUGUGGAAUUCCGGGUGUAGUGGUGAAAUGCGUAGAGAUCCGGAGGAACACCAGUGGCGAAGGCGACACGCUGGGCCGUACCUGACACUGAUGCGCGACAGCAUGGGGAGCAACAGG